GGGGCGGGGGGGGGGGGAGGCGGCGGCGGAGCCCCGGGGGAGCGGUGCCCGGUCGGGCCGCGGGAGGGGACAGCUUGGGCCGGGACCGACGGGAGGCCGAGGGCUCUACUCUUAGGGCCCUUCCUUGACGGGAGGAAGCCGAGCCACUUCCGUCUCACCGAGUUUGAGCUCAACAACGGGGUGAAGAUUGUUUAACAGGUGCGCCCUGUGUGCCGGACCCCCGGGGUCGGGAUGGGGAGGGAUACAGAAGACCCAGGGGCGCCCCUGCCCCGGCGGUUUGUUUAGGUUAGUAAUUUAAUGCACUCGUCUGUGACUGUUUUUAAUGGUCAGAAACCUGGGAUCUGAGUUUUUAGGUACAGAGGGAGGGGCGUGGCUCAUUUUGGAGGUUGGGUAAUUAGAAGAAUGAACUGAUGGAGGGCCGUAGGGUUCCUGGUCUUUGCGGAUAGGAGGAAAGGGACAGUGUUCGGAUUAUCAGGACAUCCAGCUACCCACGUUCCUAGAAAAGUUUAUGCAGCACAGCUUAUUGGAUGCCUACAAUGUGCCAGGCUAGAAUCUAAGAAUAGCAAGAUGAAGACACAAUUAUGUCCGCUGGUAACUCACAAUACAGCGAUUUGCGUGCCAUCCCGGGCAGGCCACUUUUUGCUGUAUGAGGCAAAAUUAAGACAGGAUAGUCUGUGAUGUGACGUCAUUUAUCUGCACAGGUAUGCCAGAUACACAAAGGAUACCAUCAUUUGUCUGCAAGCGUACCAGACAUAUCUGUGUGAAUCACUGAAACUCAGACCCAUGAGCAAGAUUGGUUCAUUUAUUCCUUCAGAUUUGUUGAGCACAAACUGUGUGCUGGGCCCAUGUAAUUAGGAGGUGGGGUUACAGCAGUCCCCCUGCCCUUCUAAUGGAAGUUCAUUUAAAUUAAAAAAUGAACAAGGAAUAAUGACACAUAUGCAGAAUAUGGUGAAAGAGAAGUGCAGGGAAACGCUGACGUGUGAAUCUUUGAAAGCUUCGUGGAUGAAGCGGGUCUAACCCAAAAUCUGAUAAGGUCUUUCAGGUGUAAUCGAGAAGGUCACACUGGAUGAGGAUGGCCAAUGAGGUGUCCAUAUAUGGAGAGAGAGAGACACACAGGGGGAAGAAGGCCAAGUGACAACAGAGGCAGAGAGUGCAGGGAUGUAGCUGGACACCGGAGAAUGCCAGGAAUUGCCGGUAACUACCAGAAGCUGCGAGAAGCAUAGAUGAGAACGUUCCUCAGAGGCCCCAAAAGGAACCAACUCUGCUGACGCCUUGAUUUUGGACUUCCGGUCCCCAGAACUGUGAGAAAAUAAAUUUCUGUCGUGUUAAGCCAUCCAGUUUGCGGCACUUUGUUAUGGUAGUCCUGGAGACUAAUACCGAUCAGGAGAUAUUUCGAAAGUGGAAAAAGCAGGAUUUACUGUUUGGAUGUUGGGAAUGAGGGAGGGAAGAAAAAGAGUCAAAGAUCUCCUGGUUUUCUGGCUUAAGCACCUGAGUGAAACAUAGUACCUUUACCAAGGUGUAGAGAGUACUGGAAGAAAAAUGAGGGCAGCAGUGGUGGGUAAGAAGGUGAAAAGAUAGUGAAAUAAGUUUUGGACAUGGUGAGUUUGAGAUUUCUGUGAGAUAGGCAAGUGCAGAUGUGGAAUAGUCUGUUGGGAGUUAAGUCUAUAGAACAGAACCAAGAGUCACAGGAGAGAUUGCAUUUGAAUUUAUCGAGCACAGGUGAUGAAUGAAGCCACCACGUAAAGAGAGAAAAUUUCUCAGGGAAAGAAUAGAUGACAAAGAGAAUUGGUGACCAGGACAGUCCCAGAAUCUCUUUGAGUAUUUAAUGUUUACGUAGAGAUGGGAGAACUGACAGGAGAAGUUGCUGAGUGAGCAAAACAAGAGAAGAGGGAACACGUAGCAGUGGGUUUCACAGAAGCCAAGGAGUGUUCAGAAGGAGAGGUAGUACGCCAGUGGAACGUUCUGAGGAAUAAGAUAAGGAUGGAAAAGUGUCCUAAGCAUUCAGAGUAAUAGCAGUCAUUGGUGAUUCUACACAGGUGGCUGUAACUGUGGAUAAAAUCCAAAUUGGAAUGUGUUGAGAAGUGAGUGGAAAGUGAUAAAAUGGAGAUCACCAUAGCAAAUACGAUAAUAAUGAAAAAGACGGAGAUCUGCGAGAAUUACCAAAAUGUGACACCUCUAGAGACACAAAGUGAGCUGUUGGAAAGAUGGCACCAUUAGACUUGCUUGACACAGGAUUGCCACAAACCUCUAAUUUG